rnacentral:rRNA from 1 species
UACGGGGGGAGCAAGCGUUGUUCGGAUUUACUGGGCGUAAAGGGCGCGUAGGCGGCCACCGCAAGUCGACUGUGAAAUCUCCGGGCUUAACCCGGAAAGGUCAGCCGAUACUGCGGGGCUAGAGUGCAGAAGGGGCAACUGGAAUUCUCGGUGUAGCGGUGAAAUGCGUAGAUAUCGAGAGGAACACCUGCGGCGAAGGCGGGUUGCUGGGCUGACACUGACGCUGAUGCGCGAAAGCGUGGGAGCGAACAGG